GACGAUGCCGGCUUUUUAAAGAAACAACUAGAAAAACGGACUUUAUUCCAGUAACAUGUUGGUAAAGGGUCACUCUGAGAGUCUUGUUAGCAAGGAGGCUAAUGAACCAGUGUGAUACCCUAAUUACCUCAGAUGAAGCUAUUAUCAAGAGGGCAUUGGCAGAAGUUGAUAAACUCAACCAGUAGAAGACAGUGAAGCUGCCAUCUGUACGCGCAUCACUCCGCCUGUCGGGCCGCAUGACACAAGCAUACCUCACCACGGCAACCGUAUCUCACUACGCCAACCACCCAGACCUAUCAUCCAUACCCGUUAAACCAGAAGAUUUGGGGGGCAGAGGGAACGGAUGGAGGGAUAGUGGUGUUGGAUAGAGGAACAGUAAAACAGAGAGAGAUGGAAGGACACACAUUCACUUUCAUCAGCGUAUCUGAGAAAAUGAUGGAGAGAGAGCUGAUGAAGAAAUGAAAGUGCUGAAAGCGAUGAAUGUUUCAGAUUUGAAGCCGA